CGAAGCUGACGGAUCACGCCGCGUGAGUGAUGAAGGUUUUCGGAUCGUAAAACUCUGUUGUUAGGGAAGAACAAGUGCCAUAGUAACUGAUGGCACCUUGACGGUACCUAACCAGAAAGCCACGGCUAACUACGUGCCAGCAGCCGCGGUAAUACGUAGGUGGCAAGCGUUGUCCGGAAUUAUUGGGCGUAAAGCGCUCGCAGGCGGUUCUUUAAGUCUGAUGUGAAAUCUUACGGCUCAACCGUAAACGUGCAUUGGAAACUGGGGAACUUGAGUGCAGAAGAGGAGAGUGGAAUUCCACGUGUAGCGGUGAAAUGCGUAGAGAUGUGGAGGAACACCAGUGGCGAAGGCGACUCUCUGGUCUGUAACUGACGCUGAGGAGCGAAAGCGUGGGGAGCGAACAGGAUUAGAUACCCUGGUAGUCCACGCCGUAAACGAUGAGUGCUA
rnacentral:rRNA from 1 species